UUAGGGUGAAGAUGUUGGAAUGGCUCAAUCAAGUUAAAGACUCCCAGUAUUUUGGCAUAACUGGGUCUUUCUAAUUUGAUUGAGCCGUGCCAAUAUCCGGUCUUCACCU
rfam:Beta vulgaris subsp. vulgaris Bvchr5_un.sca008.con0058.1, whole genome shotgun sequence.